GCGCUUUUGACCUAAUAUUUUGAAAAUGCAGAAAAUAGGAAACAUACAUCUACAUGACACUACUCCUUACUAUCCAUCAGGCAAUCAGAGGGUUUGAGGACAUGCAGGCAAGGUUGAAAAUGUGGAAUGAUGCUAAUAUACUUUAAGUCUUUGAUUUUUAGGUUAAACAGGUGUCACGAUGGCCCAGGCUAUUUAGCUAUUAAAUUUGUUCUCUCACGCGAUAUCAAGAUUUUAGAGAAAAACCAGUUCAACAAAAAAGUGAAACAACUCCUGCCAGCAAACUGUUAUUAUAGUUUUUAUGAGGUUUUUUAAAGACACAUUUUAGGAAAUGUGCUGUUUAUGUUAUAAUUAUUAUAACACUUGUGAUUUAGUACAUUACCUAUAUUUCUUUAGUUAUUCUUAACAUAAUCAAGUACAAUAAUGUUUUAAAUAUUUUUUCUUUCUGCAAUCUCAGUAUUGUAUAAUGAAUACUAUUUUUUUAAACCGUACU